ACCAUAAAGGAGGAGCCGCGAUUCUUACCUUCACAUCAUUCUUCCGUCCAUCCUCCUGUGAGACCUGUUUGCCUGACAUCUACCUGCCUAGCCAUGGACCCCAACUGUAACUGCGAGAAUGGUGACUCUUGUACCUGUGCAGGCUCCUGCAAAUGUAAAUCCUGCCGAUGCAAAUCCUGCAAGAAAAGCUGCUGCUCCUGCUGCCCAGCAGGAUGUGCCAAGUGUGCCCAGGGCUGUGUCUGCAAAGCCCCCCAGACCGAGAGCUGCAGCUGCUGCCACUGAUACUCCCACCUUCCUGUGCCUGUAGAUAGAGGAAUUUGUACAGACCUGACUUUUUAUACUCCCAGAUGUGUUUUCUACCCAUUUUCCCCCUCCAAAAUGAAAUGAAAAUAAACUCACUAAAUAACUUUC